GAAUUGGCAAGGUGAUAUUUCGUUGUCAACAGAGGUCUACGGUGAAAAAGAAAAUAUCCUCCGAGAAAAACUGGAAAGAGGCUUUCUGAGAAACUGCUUUUGUGAUGUGUGACUUCGAUCCACAGAGUUACAUCUGUAUUUCCUGGAUCUGUUUAUAGCCUUAUUUCUGUAUGGAAUCUGAGAACUGAUAUUUGGAUCCUUUAGGAGCUACAGGGCCAAAGGAAAUAUCCUCCGAUAACAAAGAGAAAGAAGCUUUCUGAGAAACUUCUUUGUGUUCUGUGAAAUCAUCUCAGAGUUACAGCUUUGUCCUCAAGAAGCCUUUCGCUAAGCCUAUUCUUGUGGAAAUGGCAAAGUGAUAUUUGAUGCCCAUAGAGGGCUAUGGUGAAAAAGGAAAUAUCCUCAGAUGAAAUCUGGAAAGCUUUCUGAGAAACUGCUUAGUGUUCUGUUAAUUCAUCUCACAGAGUUACAGCUGUAUUUCGUGGAUCUGUUUGUUAGACUUAUUUCUGUGGAACCUGAGACCUGAUAUUUCGGAUCCCUUGGAAGACUAUAUAGCCAAAGGAAAUAUCCUCCGAUAAAAAACAGAAAGAAGCUUUCUGAGAAAUUUCUUCGUGUUCUGUGAAAUCAUCUCACAGAGUUACAGCUUUCCCCUCAAGGAGCCUUUCGAUAAAACUGUUUUUGUGGAAUUUGCAAAGUGAUAUUAGGAAGCCCAUUAUGGGCUACAGUGAAAAAGAAAAUGUCCU
rnacentral:lncRNA from 1 species